rnacentral:rRNA from 1 species
AGCCUGAACGCUGGCGGCGUGGUUAAGACAUGCAAGUCGUACGGUGUAGCAAUACACAGUGGCGAACGGGUGAGUAAUGAAUCGCUAAUGUACCCCGGACUUUGGGAUAGCUGCCCGAAAGGGCAGGUAAUACCAGAUGACAUAACUUUGUCGCAUGACAGAGUUCUCAAAGGUCCGCCGGUCUGGGAGCAGGCGAUUUCGUAUCAGCUAGUUGGUAGGGUAACGGCCUACCAAGGCGACGACGCGUAGCCGGACUGAGAGGUUGGCCGGCCACAUUGGGACUGAGACACUGCCCAGACUCCUACGGGGGCUGCAGUAACGAAUCUUCCGCAAUGCACGAAAGUGUGACGGAGCGACGCCGCGUGUGGGACGAAGCCCUUCGGGGUGUAAACCACUGUCAAGGGAAAGAAAGUUCUGAUCUACCCUAGGAGGAAGGAGGCGGCUAACGUCUGCGCCAGCAGCCGC